rnacentral:rRNA from 1 species
UACGUAGGGGGCAAGCGUUGUCCGGAUUCAUUGGGCGUAAAGGGUGCGUAGGUGGCGCUGUAAGUCGGGUGUGAAAUUUCGGAGCUUAACUCCGAAACUGCAUUCGAUACUGCGGUGCUUGAGGACUGGAGAGGAGACUGGAAUUCAUGGUGUAGCAGUGAAAUGCGUAGAGAUCAUGAGGAAGACCAGUGGCGAAGGCGGGUCUCUGGACAGUUCCUGACACUGAGGCACGAAGGCCAGGGGAGCAAACGGG